GAGAAGGAAAAGCGGGCAGACUGGGUGUUUGUGGAUUCAAUGUGAAGACGGUGGUAAAACAUGCAGGAGUCAUCCGAGGUAAGUCCCGCACACAGUG
rnacentral:lncRNA from 1 species